UUGAUAAUUUAAUAUGAUAUUACGAGGAUGUAUUCGAUAAUAUGUGUUACCAGGAAAUAUUUUAAUUUAUGGUAUAAUUAUUUCAUUUGUUUCCUUGUUAGCAGUAUUGGUUAAAACACUUCUUUAUGUUAUAUUUAUUUUUUAUUUGCAUAAUUCAUGCAUAUGGUAUUAAGUUUUUUGUUAAACAAGGUUCACUACAUUUACAAAAGUUACUCUUAUGCAAGUGAUUCAGUUGAUGGAGAAACAAUCAAUAGUAUAGGAAGAGGUCUCUGUAUUUUUAUUGGAAUCUCCAGAGAUGACACUAGAAAAGAUAUUGAUUUUAUGGUGAGAAAAUUAUUGAACCUAAGAUUAUUUGAUAAUGAUGAAAAUAAAAGGUGGAGUCUCAGUGUUUUGGAUAAAAAGUAUGAAGUUCUGCUUAUUAGUCAAUUUACACUUCAUGCAACUUUGAAAGGUAACAAACCUGAUUUUCAUUUGUCCAUGGAUCCUGAGAACUCUCAGAAAUUUUAUUCUGAUUUUGUGGCUGCAAUGAAGCAUGCUUACGAUGACCAACACGUCAAAGAUGGUAAAUUUGGUGCCUAUAUGCAAGUAAACAUUCAGAAUGAUGGCCCUGUAACAAUGAGUAUAGAGUCCAAUGAAAAUAAAAAGAUAAAUAUCCUACAUUUAACAUGAGGUUUUUUUAUUUAAUCUACAAUAUUAUGGCAGAAGGUCUGUGGAUUGGAAUAACUUGACAGACGACGAAAAAUACAUACUCAAAUAUGGUUCCUUUCUGCCUGAUAUACCCUCAUUGCAAUAGAAAGAAGGAAACUGAACAAGAAAAUAAGAAAUCACUAGAAAAUGCAGUGAGGUAAAAAGAAAUGUCAUCAUCGAUAAUUUCACUAUUUAUAAAUAAAAGAUAUUUCAUUUAAAAAUUACAUUUUAGUAGUAUAUCUUCAAAUAAAAACUGCAAGCAAUAUGUGUAACACAUAAGUUUUAUUCAUUGUUUAUUCCUCUUUAAGACAAAAGCAACUAUUCUUAAAGUUGUGUCCAAAAACUGUAUAUGGAAAUAUUUGUUUAAAAAUUGAAGAUUAAAUAAAAAUUGUUUCUAAAA